rnacentral:lncRNA from 1 species
GAGAACCUAGAGAACGAUGAAGAAUGAACCAGUUGCUGCAAAAAUACAAUGUUGAGGAAGAUCCGACAGAUCCGGCUCCUCCUCCUCCGCUCUCCUCUUCUCUCUCCCUAUUUUCUAGGUUACAACUAGAACUAACUAGAACUAGAACUAGAGGAACUAGAACUAGAACUAGAUGAACUAGAGGGAUCCUCUCUACUUGGAUGAAGAAUUGAAACCCUAACUUUGAUUCUGUAGAAGAGGUAUGCUCUCCAGGGGCCAGGGGGCCUUGCUUAUAUAGUCUUUUCAGAUGAAUCUGGGUCGUCGGAUCAAACCAACAUUAAUCGCACGGUUUUCCUUGAUCGCUUAGGUCGGUGGAGCACGAUCCGUGAAAAGAACUCUGAUUGGUCACAGAAGGUGGGCGGGCGCCCAGGAGAGUAGGGCGGGCGCCCUGGCUCCGAGCCCGAUCGCCUUUCCGUUCGUUCCCGUGGCUUCUGGAGACUUCUAGAUGGUAGAAAAUUACGCGGCACGUUAAUAUCUCUAUGUAAUCCCGACAUGUGGGCCUUUCUUCCAUAUUUCCUGAUAACCCCCUGCAGAAAUAGACAAACACCAAAACUCGUGGAAUUCUGUCAGAUAAAACCCUAAGUCUGGGUGUUGGUUGCAUAUAAGUCCUUUUCCAUGAUUAGUUGACGGUUAAAUGUAAGCAUUAAGGACCGUCAACAUUCAUAUUUAUAUUAUUUAUCUUAUGUGACACUUACCCUGCAUGAGAGAUAGAUAAAGACAUGGUUA